GUUUAAGCAUGUAGGCUGGUUAUCCAGGCAAAUCCGGAUAAUCAAGGCUGAGGUGUGAUGACGAGGCACUACGGUGCUGAAGUAACAAAUGCCCUGCUUCCAGGAAAAGCCUCUAAGCAUCAGGUAACAUCAAAUCGUACCCCAAACCGACACAGGUGGUCAGGUAGAGAAUACCAAGGCGCUUGAGAGAACUCGGGUGAAGGAACUAGGCAAAAUGGUGCCGUAACUUCGGGAGAAGGCACGCUGGUGUGUAGGUGAAGUCCCUGCGGAUGGAGCUGAGACCAGUCGAAGAUACCAGCUGGCUGCAACUGUUUAUUAAAAACACAGCACUGUGCAAACACGAAAGUGGACGUAUACGGUGUGACGCCUGCCCGGUGCCGGAAGGUUAAUUGAUGGGGUUAUCCGUAAGGAGAAGCUCUUGAUCGAAGCCCCGGUAAACGGCGGCCGUAACUAUAACGGUCCUAAGGUAGCGAAAUUCCUUGUCGGGUAAGUUCCGACCUGCACGAAUGGCGUAAUGAUGGCCAGGCUGUCUCCACCCGAGACUCAGUGAAAUUGAACUCGCUGUGAAGAUGCAGUGUACCCGCGGCAAGACGGAAAGACCCCGUGAACCUUUACUAUAGCUUGACACUGAACAUUGAGCCUUGAUGUGUAGGAUAGGUGGGAGGCUUUGAAGCGUGGACGCCAGUCUGCGUGGAGCCAACCUUGAAAUACCACCCUUUAAUGUUUGAUGUUCUAACGUUGGCCCCUGACCGGGGUUGCGGACAGUGUCUGGUGGGUAGUUUGACUGGGGCGGUCUCCUCCCAAAGCGUAACGGAGGAGCACGAAGGUUAGCUAAUCCUGGUCGGACAUCAGGAGGUUAGUGCAAUGGCAUAAGCUAGCUUGACUGCGAGCGUGACGGCGCGAGCAGGUGCGAAAGCAGGUCAUAGUGAUCCGGUGGUUCUGAAUGGAAGGGCCAUCGCUCAACGGAUAAAAGGUACUCCGGGGAUAACAGGCUGAUACCGCCCAAGAGUUCAUAUCGACGGCGGUGUUUGGCACCUCGAUGUCGGCUCAUCACAUCCUGGGGCUGAAGUAGGUCCCAAGGGUAUGGCUGUUCGCCAUUUAAAGUGGUACGCGAGCUGGGUUUAGAACGUCGUGAGACAGUUCGGUCCCUAUCUGCCGUGGGCGCUGGAGAAUUGAGGGGGGCUGCUCCUAGUACGAGAGGACCGGAGUGGACGCAUCACUGGUGUUCGGGUUGUCAUGCCAAUGGCACUGCCCGGUAGCUAAAUGCGGAAGAGAUAAGUGCUGAAAGCAUCUAAGCACGAAACUUGCCCCGAGAUGAGUUCUCCCUGAGACUAUAAGUCUCCUGAAGGAACGUUAAAGACGAUGACGUUGAUAGGCCGGGUGUGUAAGCGCAGCGAUGCGUUGAGCUAACCGGUACUAAUGAACCGUGAGGCUUAACCUU
rnacentral:rRNA from 1 species